GGACCCGCACAAGUAGUGGAGCAUGUGGUUUAAUUCGAUGAUACGCGAAGAACCUUACCUGGGCUCUAAUGCGAGUGACCGCUCCUGAAAGGGAGCUUUCCUUCGGGACACGAAGCAAGGUGCUGCAUGGUUGUCGUCAGCUCGUGCCGUGAGGUGUUGGGUUAAGUCCCGCAACGAGCGCAACCCCUAUCUUUAGUUGCCAGCGAUUCGGUCGGGGACUCUAGAGAGACUGCCUGCGCAAGCAGAGAGGAAGGCGGGGACGACGUCAAAUCAUCAUGGCCUUUAUGCCCAGGGCUACACACGUGCUACAAUGGUAAGGACAAAGGGCAGCGAGCCGGCGACGGUUAGCGAAUCCCAAAAACCUUAUCUCAGUUCGGAUUGGAGUCUGCAACUCGACUCCAUGAAGCUGGAAUCGCUAGUAAUCG
rnacentral:rRNA from 1 species